UACGUAGGGUGCAAGCGUUGUCCGGAAUUAUUGGGCGUAAAGAGCUCGUAGGCGGUUUGUUGCGUCGGCUGUGAAAUCCCGAGGCUCAACCUCGGGUCUGCAGUCGAUACGAGCAAACUAGAGUGUUGCAGGGGAGACUGGGAAUUCCUGGUGAUAGCGGUGAAAUGACGCAGAUAUCAGGAGGAACACCGGUGGCGAAGGCGGGUCUCUGGGCAACACUGACGCUGGAGGAGCGAAAGCGUGGGGAGCGAAACAGG
rnacentral:rRNA from 1 species